rnacentral:rRNA from 1 species
UACGUAGGGUACGAGCGUUAAUCGGAAUUACUGGGCGUAAAGCGUGCGCAGGCGGUUUUGUAAGUCAGAUGUGAAAGCCCCGGGCUUAACCUGGGAAUGGCAUUUGGGACUGCAAGGCUUGAGUGCGGCAGAGGAGACUGGAAUUCCUGGUGUAGCAGUGAAAUGCGUAGAUAUCAGGAGGAAUACCGAUGGCGAAGGCAGGUCUCUGGGCUGACACUGACGCUCAUGCACGAAAGCGUGGGGAGCAAACAGG